rnacentral:rRNA from 1 species
CCUACGGGCGGCAGCAGUGGGGAAUAUUACACAAUGGGCGCAAGCCUGAUGCAGCCACGCCGCGUGUGUGAAGAAGGCCUUCGAGUUGUAAAGCACUUUCAGCGGGGAGGAAGGCGGUGAGGUUAAUAACCUCAUCGAUUGACGUUACCCGCAGAAGAAGCACCGGCUAACUCCGUGCCAGCAGCCGCGGUAAUACGGAGGGUGCAAGCGUUAAUCGGAAUUACUGGGCGUAAAGCGCACGCAGGCGGUCUGUCAAGUCGGAUGUGAAAUCCCCGGGCUCAACCUGGGAACUGCAUUCGAAACUAGCAGGCUAGAGUCUUGUAGAGGGGGGUAGAAUUCCAGGUGUAGCGGUGAAAUGCGUAGAGAUCUGGAGGAAUACCGGUGGCGAAGGCGGCCCCCUGGACAAAGACUGACGCUCAGGUGCGAAAGCGUGGGGAGCAAACAGGAUUAGAUACCCCAGUAGUC